rnacentral:rRNA from 1 species
AGAGACGAGUCAGAGUUUGAUCCUGGCUCAGGAUUAACGCUGGCGGCGUGCAUAACACAUUCAAGUCGAACGAACAGAUGAGCUUCGGUUUAUCUGUUAGUGGCGGACGGGUGAGUAACGCGUGAGCAAUCUACCUUCCAGUACGGAAUAACAACCGGAAACAGUUGCUAAUACCGUAUGAAAUGGCAAUCUCGCAUGAGAUAACCAUCAAAGGCUUGCUGCUGGAAGAUGAGCUUGCGUCCGAUUAGAUAGUUGGUGAGGUAACGGCCCACCAAGUCGACGAUCGGUAGCCGGACUGAGAGGUUGAACGGCCACAUUGGAACUGAGAUACGGUCCAG